GGCACCUGAUUCACUUCCCUUCCUCUUUUUCUCUCCCACUACUAACCCUAGCCGCCGCCCGACGCCCGCCGCUGUGGCCCGAUGCCCCGUGAGACGUGAGCCCGUGACGAUUGACGACUGCGGCACCGAGGCGCGCCGCGCGCCGCGCGCCCUGACCGAUGAAGACUGGCGCCCACAGCGGCGACCCUGACCGGUGAAGAGCGGUGCCCCGAGCGGCAGUCCUGACCAGGGAAGACCGGCGCCCCGCGUCGACAACCCCGACCCCCCGUCGGUCGCUCCACUUCCCGCGACGCGGCCGUCCGCCACCGGUGCUGCACCUCCUGACGGCCGGUUCAACAGAUGCAGUCCAUCACCACCACCCGUCCUCUUCCACACUAUUCGCUGGCUCGCCGCCUGCUGCCAUCUUUCGGUUCUCCACAUCGCAGCUGAUGAUGUUUCCUGUACCGGAUUCUAAAUAUGAUGAGGAGUUGAAUGAGAAAGAUGCCGAAGCAAAAGGUGCCAAUCUAGAAGCUGCUCAAGAUGACAAGCCAAAAGAACAGAAGCAAAUGGCGUCAUGAAAUCUUAUUGUUGGACCAUGAAUUACGAAUCUUCUUACUUAUGAAUCUUGUCACUUGCUGUCAAGUAUAAACAUGUAUUGGUAUUUUGUUUACUUGCUGUCAAAUAUAAACAUGUAUUGCUACUGGGAGUAACUCGUUGUAGCAAUUAAUUUGGUCUG